UGGCUCAGGACGAACGCUGGCGGCGUGCUUAACACAUGCAAGUCGAACGAUGAACCGGUUUCGGCCGGGGAUUAGUGGCGAACGGGUGAGUAACACGUGGGCAAUCUGCCCUGCACUCUGGGACAAGCCCUGGAAACGGGGUCUAAUACCGGAUACGACGCGUUCCCGCAUGGGAUACGUGUGGAAAGCUCCGGCGGUGCAGGAUGAGCCCGCGGCCUAUCAGCUUGUUGGUGGGGUGAUGGCCUACCAAGGCGACGACGGGUAGCCGGCCUGAGAGGGCGACCGGCCACACUGGGACUGAGACACGGCCCAGACUCCUACGGGAGGCAGCAGUGGGGAAUAUUGCACAAUGGGCGCAAGCCUGAUGCAGCGACGCCGCGUGAGGGAUGACGGCCUUCGGGUUGUAAACCUCUUUCAGCAGGGAAGAAGCGUGAGUGACGGUACC
rnacentral:rRNA from 1 species